UUUUUCACAGAUAUGUUUGGAGUUGUAGUAGGUGACUCAGAACGAGAGGGUUUUGGUUUCUUCCCUGAAAUAAAUCACCAUGUCUGCAGACAGGAUUCAUGACUGAGAACGGGACACAAACGACAUCCAGUGUUUUGGCCAGUAAUGCCCUUGAUUUGAAAGAAGCUGAGCAGCUCAGUGCUCAGACCUUCGUAAGUACAAACAUCAUGCUGAACACGGCUUUGGAGUUGAGCAGAUGGGUGGAUACAGUUCUCCUGCUGCAGCAAUAAGGCCAAAAGGAAAGGAAGUGAAACCACCUCAUUGCUUCUGGUGAACAUUCUCUUGGAGGAACUCUACUUGGCAGUGCCAUUCUGGCCCAGUUAGCUGGCAAUGAUCUGCACUGUGAAUCUCUCUAAUUUUACCUAAUGGCUUGUAUAUAUCCUAGAAGUCUAUAAAAGAAGUCUAUAGAAUCUAUAAAAACCCUAUAAAUCAUGAGUGAUAUGGACAGGGCAAAAUGACCACCAUCCUUUGCCAUGCCUCAGAAUUGACCAAAAAGAAGGGAAACAGAGCGUACUUAAAAAAAAAUAAUAACCUACAAACAAAACCCCAAAAGAAUCCCACACACACACUGCACAUUAACUUAAAGUGCACAAAAAACUUAAUAGCAUUUUGCAGCAAUUCCUGUACAACAAUGCUUUACAAAUCUCCGGACAUUUUGAAGUAACACUUCUACAUCACUUAGGCCAUACCAUGUACUUUAGGAAGCCUUGAGUUCAC